AAAAUAGGGCGUUAAAAGAUGUAGGUAUAUUUUCUAUAGGCAAAUCCGUAGAGAAUGCUGAAGUCCAACAGUACCAGGAGGCUCCGGCCGAAUGGAUAGAGAAUGUAAGCAGACUUCCGAGAAAAUCUUCUAAGCAUAUUGAUACGGUACCCGUACCGCAAACCGACACAGGUAGUCAAGGAGAGAAUCCUGAGGUGCUCGAGUGAGUCAUGGCUAAGGAACUAGGCAAAUUAAACCUGUAACUUCGGGAAAAGGGUUGCCUCUCUUUAGCAAUAAAGAAGGUCGCAGAGAAAUGGCCCAGGCGACUGUUUAACAAAAACACAUGGCUAUGCGAAAUCGUAAGAUGAAGUAUAUGGCCUGACACCUGCCCGGUGCUGGAAGGUUAAGGGGGGAAGUUAGUCGCAAGGCGAAGCUUUGAACUGAAGCCCCAGUAAACGGCGGCCGUAACUAUAACGGUCCUAAGGUAGCGAAAUUCCUUGUCGGGUAAGUUCCGACCUGCACGAAUGGUGUAACGAUCUGGGCACUGUCUCAGCCAUGAGCUCGGUGAGAUUGCAGUCACGGUGAAGAUGCCGUGUACCCGUCACGGGACGGAAAGACCCCAUGCACCUUUACUAUAGCUUCGCAUUGACAUUGGGUAGAUGAUGUGUAGGAUAGGUGGGAGGCGUUGAUCCUGUGCCGCUAGGUAUAGGGGAGCCAACGGUGAAAUACCACCCUUUAUUUAUCUGAUGUCUAAUCCGCAAGACCUGCGGAGACAGUGCGUGGUGGGUAGUUUGACUGGGGUGGUCGCCUCCGAAAGUGUAUUGGAGGCUUUCAAAGGUAUGCUCAAUACGCUUGGUAACCGUAUGUGGAGUGCAAUAGCAUAAGCAUGCUUGACUGUGAGACUGACAAGUCGAGCAGGGUCGAAAGACGGAUAUAGUGAUCCGGUGGUUCUGUAUGGAAGGGCCAUCGCUCAAAGGAUAAAAGGUACGCUGGGAUAACAGGCUGAUCUCCCCCAAGAGCUCACAUCGACGGGGAGGUUUGGCACCUCGAUGUCGGCUCGUCACAUCCUGGGGCUGGAGAAGGUCCCAAGGGUUAGGCUGUUCGCCUAUUAAAGUGGCACGCGAGCUGGGUUCAGAACGUCGCGAGACAGUUCGGUCCCUAUCUGUGAUGGGCGUAGGAAGUUUGAGAGGAUCUGACCUUAGUACGAGAGGACCGGGUUGGACCAACCGCUGGUGUACCGGUUGUGGCGUCAGCUGCAUCGCCGGGUAGCUACGUUGGGACGAGAUAAGCGCUGAAAGCAUCUAAGCGCGAAACUCACCUCAAGAUGAGACUUCCAUUAAGGGACGUCAGAGACUAUGACGUUGAUAGGCUGCAGGUGUAAAGGCAGAAAUGUCAAAGCUGAGCAGUACUAAUUACUC
rnacentral:rRNA from 1 species